rnacentral:tRNA from 1 species
GGGCAGAUGGCGAAAUUGGUAGACGCAUCACACUCAAAAUGUGACCCUAGUUAGGAUGAGGGUUCGAAUCCCUUUCUGCUUA